ACAUUAAGCUUAUUAAAUAAAAAAAAAGAUUAUAUUAAAAAUAAGAAUAAAAUAUUAAGAAUUAAAAUAUUUAUUUACGAUACAAACGGUUAAUUAGCAUCAAUAUCAUAUUAUAAUACAAAUAUAAAUUCAUCUUGAAACGUAUUAUCAAAUGUUCGAUGAGUACUUGGAGGGAAUGUAUGGUUAUGACACAAUCAAGAAAAUGUUGACAAAUAUUGAUUUUUUCUUUCUAUCAUGAUCGACUUUUUCCAAUAUGCCAUAUUCGAAAUUUGACCGAGUAUAAAUUUAUAUGUUAUAUGUAUGCAUAGAUUUCAUUAAUGGCUAGAUACACUCAUAUCAUAUUCGAACACAUCCGAAUAUUUCUAGUUACUUGAUUGCUAUGCGUCGAAUCCCAAUUAAUUUUGCUUCAGAAAAUGAAAACACUGUUCGAUUUUCCAGAUCAAUAUUUUUUUAAACGAACCUUUGUUAAUUACAUACAAAAAUAAGUUUUUGUUUUAUUUCACACAAAAAUUAAAAUUAUAUAAAUCGAACUAAAUCGGGUAAUGGCAUCUGAGUGAAGUUGUUUCAGGAAACAAAAGCGAUAUAUCGAUAUAUCGAUUAAGUUGUUCGUCUUGUUUAGAGCAUACUUCAUGUAAUUAUCUUAUUGGGUGAUAUUAAAAUUUUUAAUUUUUAAUUGGAACACUCAUCGAGUCAUAAAAAGUUUGCCAUGUAACGAAAACAACAAAGUUAUAUUUAAUAAUUAGUUUUUUGAUAACGAAAAAAAUUAUCUGAUUGUUUAACUAUCACUAAUGCGGUUUCCCAAGAUCUUUGCACUUUUUUUCAAGUAGGUGUAAUUUUACGAGUAAUCCUCCGACAAACGGAAAAAACAUGCAGUUACACCCUUAUAUCUUGACAGGGCACUACUUCUUACCGAGACAAUUGCUUGGAAGACAGCCGGUAGCAAGUGUCGCUUCUGUGGCCGCACAAAGGCUCGAAUAACUCCGAACAAAGAGUGAUAAAGUAUGCCUCGUGAACACAACGUUUUUUCUUUUUUCGCCGUUCUCAUCCUGUUAAGUUCUAAUUAACGAACAAUUUGUUGAGCUUUUGUUUAAUUUUUCUUUACAAAACGAAACUUGUGAUUCGAUUUAUAUAAAUCGUGAUACAUAGUAAAUCGAAAGAGUAUGAAAAUAAAAAAAAAAUAUAGUUAAUUAUUUUUAUAGUUUUUUUUUUUAAAAACAAUUCAGUUCAAUAUGAUUUUAUUAGAAUUGAUAUAUUAGGAAUAUAAUAGGAUUAUAAACAGAGGGCGGCACAUAUUCGUGUCAUGGUCGUUAAGUGAACCCGUUUAUGUCAAACGAUGUUUGUGUCGAAACGAAUAAUCUCUAUGCCUUACUGCGGGUUUAGCGAAUGUUUGCAAUAAGGAUGAAGUUUCUAAACAUGGUCGUCCUAUUUUCUUGAAAUCAUUCGUACCUGAAUACUGACCGAACUUUAACUGGCUUCGAUUUGAAAGGACCCGCGUUCCCUUAGGUAUUUCCAGAUAGAACUUUUCGAAUAUUUACGAACAAACGAGUGUGUCUAUAUUGGAAAUAUCGCCAGGGAGCUAAAUCAGAAAUUGAGGACGUAGAGGAAGAAAAAGAAACUGAAAAGAACGACAAGAUGUUACCGGUGAAGAUCUAUCGAGACGAUAUUAAACCGAACAAGAUAACACUCUUAGAAAAGGUUCCUGGAUAUAUAAGCUGUUAUCAAUCAAGCUGGAUCUUGUAGUAACAAAAUCGAUUUAUUUCCCUUCGCUCUAAAAAUUUCACACAGCUAUGUUAGAAGACUAUAAUAUUAUAUCUAUUCAGAUUAAAAAAUCAUUGUGUUUUUUUAAAUCAUGGAAAAUUUGAAUAACUAAGAAAUUUUCCAAUUAAAUAUCUCGUUGAGAUAUACUUGAAAAUGAUUAAAAAUUAAAAAAGAGAGGAAAAAAACUUUAUUUUGAAGAUAGACAUAAAUUAUUAAAACAAUUUACUUAAACGUGUUAGGAGCAACCAUGAAUAUUGAAAUAAAGAUGAAGAGUUCUUACUACAUAUUUCAUCACCUCAUCAUAUACUAUUAUGUAGUGUUUUCCCAGUCAGGUAUCUAAGUAUCUACUUAGAUUAAGUGAAGUAGUACAGUUAUGCUCAGGCACGUGUGUAUACAUGUUGAUUAUUCAUUAUCAGUUACAUCUUUAAGGCUUAAUUCGAGUCAAUUGCUGAGACAAUUACAUAAAAUGAUUGUAAUUUUUUUUAUCGAAAUCGGAUGAUUAACACUAGAAGAAACGGAAAAAAUACAACUUUGAAGAAAAUUGAAGAAUAGUACAAAUGAUUGGAAUGUUUAAGGUAUCGAAGGAAAGUGAAAUUUUCUUGAAGAGAAUAGAAAGUUUUAUCGAUAAGUUUCUUUUUUAUGACCUUAAAUGUCCUCGAAGAGCACUCGUCGAAAUAAAAUAAGAAUAGAAUGCAUCUAAACGUAUUGUGUAUAGUUCGUGUCAGUCGAUAUUUUACAACAGGAUCUGGGAUAUCGAUUUGGUAACUUCCAGACACGUGGCACUGCCAUUACGAUCGAUAUUACAAGAGUAUUUCGUCGAAAAUAUAUUCGCAAACUAUUUACCUAUACUAUAGCUGAAUUUCUUCAUUCGAUUUCCAAAACAAUGGUCAAUACCUAAACAGGAGAAGGAAAUUCGCGAGAGAAUCGAACAUGUAUAAUAUUGGAGGAAGAGAAAAUGGAAGGAAAUUCUAUAAAUAGGAAUAACAGUUCAUGCAGUAGUUCAACAUUUAGCUAGAAUAUUGACAACGAGAAACCGAAAAUAUAACAGUGAAAAAGAAAAAUGAAGAAGAAAAAAAGUAUCGAGGAAAGUUGAUUUUUUCGUAAUAGAGGUAUCAAGCUUUAAUCCUCUUAUUUAGACAUAGUAUGGAAAGAGGAUACUUGUAUCUGAAAGUGUGAAAGUAGAAGCGAGUACUCUUUGAAAUAUCGCGUGAAGGAACAUAAUGUGGAAAAAUUGCGGUAAGUAUGUGAGAAAAAAAGAUUCGUAAAAGUAAAUUGAAUACUAUGAUACUACCUUCCAAUUUUAUCUGAGGGUAUGCCAUGUAGGUCAGGAUGGUUGUUUUCUUCGAGGAUUUUCCCAAUGCACGAUUUUUACCUUCUUGCACUUGUCGUAAUAUCAUCGAAUAAUAAGAAAGAUAGACUAUUGUAUAGAAAUCUGUUUUUUCCUUUCUUAGAGAUUGAUUUUUUAUUGUUUCUUUUGGUGUAAACAUUAUUCUCUUUUAAGUUUGCUUGAAAUUUCCCCUACAAACGUUGCGAGAUUUUUCAGAAGAAAAGCAAGGAGAAAGAGAAAUGGAAAUCGGGAUAGAAAAUAAGAUAAAAAGAUCGAAUGGAAAGGAUAAGAAAUUUAAAAGAUUUUGUGCGAUUGAAAGGAUGUUUCGCUUAAGUUUCCACGAAAUCUUGACACGGAAAGAAGCUGUACAGCACAAUUCUCGAGCACUCGUAACGUUAAAGUAGAGAGUAGAAUAAUAGGUACUUGAAACAGUUACGAAAUGGCAGCUCAGCUAGAUCUCGCACGCGAACUUCUUCUCGAAUGAAAACUAUUUUGAUGUUAUUUUUAUAUGAAUUCUAUGUGAUUAAAGGAAACGAAGGAAAGAAGAAUAAAAGAUGCAAUAGUAUUUUGCAAUGAUAAUGAUAAAAUAUUUUUUUAAAGAUUGUACGAUGGAGAGCAGUGAUUGAGAUACUGAUUAAAGUAACGAUCGACCGUAUUAAAUCCUAGCCAAAUAUCUAACUUGGAAUGAUCACAAUCAUAACCGUAUAGUGAUAGUGAUUCUCUAAACGAAAAGUUUUAACAGGGAUAUCUUAGACACGCGAUGGCACGUUUAAAUUACGUAGAACCCAAAUACAGAGUAGUGAAUCUGCAAUCGUAACAGCUCUACGCCCGUGUCUAUAACGUCCCUCUAUUGGCGUUGAGUAGCUACCGAGCGAGGGCAAUCUCGCUAUUGAUUGCACCUUGCAUCCUCCCGCCCCUUUCUCCUGCCGCGAUCCCCUCUCCGCGACCAUCCUUCGUCCAUCCCAACCCUCAGGGCAACCCCUCCGAUUCCUCUUUUUCUCUACUACUUUCCUCUUUCCCUCGACUCUUUUCGAUUCGAAUUUGCCCCAAGCCAAGGGCCGAGAGACGCUCAGGAACGCACAUUUUAUUCUUUUAUUUCUUCGACGCAACAUACGGUUUCGAUUAUUAACUUUAUACAACAGAAAGUGAUACCAUUUUUUUUUAAAUUACAAUAUUACAAUACAAUUUGUUUAUAGAAACAAAAUUUUACCCAUGUCUGAUUAUUUGAACUGUCGCUGAAUGUCAUUAACAACAUAUAACAAUCGUGAAUAGCUUUAAGAGAUCGAAGUAUGAAAUCGAAUACGAAAAGAGAGGAAUCUAUCCUGUGUACUUGAAUAAUACGAAAACUUGAAACUGAUAUAUUAACUUUUCACUUAAUUUAAUAUAAUUUAACUUAACCUAACCUAACCUAACCUCACUUCACCUCACCUCACUUCGUUCCGUCUUCCGAUUGGCCGAAAUUAUUACGGAUUUUUAUUUAGAGAUAUCGAAGAACAAUGUAUCGACUCGCGGUGACUCGCCCCAACUCGCACAGCGACGAUCCCACUUUGACGUCUUGACGUCAAUUUUGUUAAUUAAUUCGCCUUCAUUAAAACGAUCGAUCGAGAGACUCGGGUUGACACGUUAGUUACACUUCACCACCGUGAAAACUCGAUUUAACCGCUUAAAGAUUUAUCGGGGACAACCAGUCUCGUUGACUUGUUAUUGCAACGAAAAAUUUUGCGCAUUUAUUGCACAUAUUUUUUUCGAUAAUAAAACUAAGGAAUUACAAUUUUAAGAAAAAUAAUUUCAAUUCCUGUAAGAUUGAAUUUACGAUUUGGAAACUAGAAAUAUUUUGAGAAACUUGAGAAAUGCAAGUUUUUGGUUAUGUUACAGUUAAUGCGCAAAAUUUUUUGAUAUUCCAAACUGUGCAUAACUUGAGUUUCUAAGUUUAAUAAAUUUUAAUAAAAUCUAUCAGCUGAUAGAUCUUAUUUUCACGCCACACGUGACAUAUGUGCACAAUUAUGAUAUUACCAGUCGCGAAGCUUUUAUGACGCAUUUACAAUCGAUACAUUCAGUAUGAAAGUUGAAACGACAGAGCAACGAAGCCAUUGUUUUCUCAUAAUGUAUAGCGACUGCAAUCGACACCCGAUACAUCACUGUAUAAAAGAUUAAAGUUUCAGCGGGGAAAUAUCACGUAUUGCAUUAUUUUGACUUUACGAUAAUUUAUAAUCUACAAUGUCAUGUCAUGUAAUCGUGCCUUCCAUAGAAUCCAAAGAAAGUAUUUUUAUUUUUAAUCGACAAUUGUUACAAAUAAAUUUCUUAAAAAAAAAAAAUAAACAACUUUAUUUCAGGAAAUUUCGUUACUCGAUGAUACGAGAGAACAACUUGGAAGAAUUCCGUUUAAUUAUUCAAUGAGCAUACUUGACGAGAAACAUCGAUGCGCACAAAUGAGGGGAAAUUCCGGACAAAGGAGGAUAUAUAGAACGCGUAUCGGAAACGAGAUACUCGAAGGAAACACCUAGCUCAUCGGGAUAAUAAGGAAUAUGCUGGUAGAGUCACAUUCAUCCGCAUAGUUUGUUACCAAUUACCCCAAGUGUCCACCUACAUCGAAUUCUAGACGAGAACCGAGACACCAACACCGUGUCGUUGAAUAACAUGUAUGCAUAACUUGCACAGGACACGCGACCUAUACAUUUAUACACGCGCCUAUCCAUGUGGAUAUGCAGAGAUAUAUACAUACGAAACGAACGAGGAAUAGGAGUGGCCGUAUACUGCAUCGGACAGCUUGCAACUGCGUAUAUUAUUCAUCGGUAAUAAUCAUUCUCCAAAAAUGUAACCAACCAUAAACAGCUUUUUGUACUAUCGUACAAAACGAUCUCGACCGAAAAUCGUUGUUAUUCUUGCCAUUGAAUUCGUGUCGAAUAUUUUAUUCGUUUAUUAUUUGACAAUUUUAAAGAGCGCACGAACGUUUCGAAGCGAUAACGAAGGGAAAGAAAAUAUUCCAAGUUGUCGAGGAGAAGUUCGUUUGGUAAAAGGUGGGAAGAAACUUAAUCUUAAUAUCGUGUAUCGUAUAUCCUCUCCACAUUUCCCAACAUUUUUUGCAGCAUCAAGUUUCCCCCAAGGAACGUUCGACUAAAUUAUUCGCUUUCUUCGGCAUCUCUCUCUUACCCUUUCCCCCCCUUCUACUCCCUACUCCUCGCAAAACGUUUUUUCAUUUCCCGCCCAAGUUUUUCUUCCCACCUACCACUCUCUCAUUUUUAACUCGGCAACGUCGCCUGCCUGAUUUCAAUAGAUACAUUUCCAAUCGUCCCCUUAUUUGGAAUAAAACCAUACUCCGUGGAUGGAGGAAUUAGAUUGAUA